UACGUAGGGGGCAAGCGUUGUCCGGAAUCAUUGGGCGUAAAGAGCGUGUAGGCGGCCAUGCAGGUCCGUUGUGAAAACUCGAGGCUCAACCUCGAGACGUCGGUGGAAACCGCAUGGCUAGAGUCCGGGAGAGGAGAGUGGAAUUCCUGGUGUAGCGGUGAAAUGCGCAGAUAUCAGGAAGAACACCCCGUGGCGAAGGCGGCUCUCUGGUACGUGACUGACGCUGAGACGCGAAAAAGCGUGGGGGAGCAAAACAGG
rnacentral:rRNA from 1 species